GACGAACGCUGGCGGCGUGCUUAACACAUGCAAGUCGAACGCUGAAGACCUGGCUUUUGUUGGGUUGGAUGAGUGGCGAACGGGUGAGUAAUACGUGAGUAACCUGCCCUCUUCUUUGGGAUAACGCCCGGAAACGGGUGCUAAUACUGGAUAUUCACUGGCCUUCGCAUGGGGGUUGGUGGAAAGGUUUGUUCUGGUGGGGGAUGGGCUCGCGGCCUAUCAGCUUGUUGGUGGGGUGAUGGCCUACCAAGGCUUUGACGGGUAGCCGGCCUGAGAGGGUGACCGGUCACAUUGGGACUGAGAUACGGCCCAGACUCCUACGGGAGGCAGCAGUGGGGAAUAUUGCACAAUGGGCGAAAGCCUGAUGCAGCGACGCCGCGUGAGGGAUGGAGGCCUUCGGGUUGUAAACCUCUUUCGCUCAUGGUCAAGCCGCAACUGUGGGUUGUGGUGAGGGUAGUGGGUAAAGAAGCGCCGGCUAACUACGUG
rnacentral:rRNA from 1 species